AGUAACGGCGAGUGAAGCGGCAACAGCUCAAAUUUGAAAUCUGGCCCUCUCAGGGUCCGAGUUGUAAUUUGGAGAGGAUGCUUCGGGUGUGGCCCCGGGCUAAGUUCCUUGGAACAGGACGUCACAGAGGGUGAGAGUCCCGUACGUGCCCGGUGGCCGCCCCCGUGUGAAGCUCCUUCGACGAGUCGAGUUGUUUGGGA
rnacentral:rRNA from 1 species